rnacentral:rRNA from 1 species
GUUCUACCUUGACGAAUUGUAGUUUAAAGAAGUGUUUUCUGUUAGAGGAGUAGCAAAAGUUCCUUGGAAUGGGACAUCAUAGAGGGUGAGAAUCCCGUAUUUGGUUACUUUUUCUAGCUUUGUGAUACACUUUCAAAGAGUCGGAUUGUUUGGGAAUGCAGUCCAAAAUGGGUGGUAAAUUUCAUCUAAAGCUAAAUAUUGGCGAGAGACCGAUAGCGAACAAGUACCGUGAGGGAAAGAUGAAAAGAACUUUGAAAAGAGAGUUAAACAGUACGUGAAAUUGUCAAAAGGGAAGCGUUUGACGCCAGUGUUGUUUUUCCGAAAAUCAACUGAGAACGGCUUGAUUUUGUGUUGUAUUGACCUUAUCAGCUUUCUUCACUCUUUUUCGAGUCUUUCUU